UUUACCCUCUCGAUAGCUUAGAAUACAAUCAUUCAGUGAUGUUUCUUAUGGAUUCUCUAAUAGUCAAAUAAUUGCUCCUAAUUGACUCAUUUCAUUUCUUGCAGUGGUAAAACUGUUACUAUUUCUCUAUAGAAUGAUCUUGCUACUAGGGCUGGACAAGAGCUUUUGGACAUGGUUGACAGUUCGCCCGUUGUUGCGAUAAAGAGCCUAAAAGUAUUUGACUUCCAAGAAGUACUCUCGAGAUUAAUCCUGAUCUGCCUGAGGCUAAGAAUCUUAUGUCCUGGUAUGACUCUGAAGGUAAAGAUACUUCACUGGUACCAAUUAGUGCAGAAGCGGGUGCCACACGCGCUGGUGGUUUCAAGUCCAUGUAUUUCGAUAGAGUUUUU